rnacentral:rRNA from 1 species
AUUGAACGCUGGCGGCAUGCUUUACACAUGCCAGUCGAACGGCAGCGCGGGCUUCGGCCUGGCGGCGAGUGGCGAACGGGUGAGUAAUACAUCGGAACGUGCCCAGUAGUGGGGGAUAGCUCGGCGAAAGCCGGAUUAAUACCGCAUACGACCUGAGGGUGAAAGCGGGGGAUCUUCGGACCUCGCGCUAUUGGAGCGGCCGAUGGCAGAUUAGCUAGUUGGUGGGGUAAAGGCCUACCAAGGCGACGAUCUGUAGCUGGUCUGAGAGGACGACCAGCCACACUGGGACUGAGACACGGCCCAGACUCCUACGGGAGGCAGCAGUGGGGAAUUUUGGACAAUGGGCGAAAGCCUGAUCCAGCAAUGCCGCGUGUGUGAUGAAGGCCUUCGGGUUGUAAAGCACUUUUGGCGGGAACGAAAAGGACUGUGCCAAUACCACGGUUCGAUGACGGCACCCGCAGAAUAAGCACCGGCUAACUACGUG